ACGAACGCUGGCGGCGUGCUUAACACAUGCAAGUCGAACGAUGAAGCCUUUCGGGGUGGAUUAGUGGCGAACGGGUGAGUAACACGUGGGCAAUCUGCCCUUCACUCUGGGACAAGCCCUGGAAACGGGGUCUAAUACCGGAUAACACUCUGUCCCGCAUGGGACGGGGUUAAAAGCUCCGGCGGUGAAGGAUGAGCCCGCGGCCUAUCAGCUUGUUGGUGGGGUGAUGGCCUACCAAGGCGACGACGGGUAGCCG
rnacentral:rRNA from 10 species